CCUCUGCAAGGUCACUAUAAAUCUGUUUAUCCUUCAGACGGAAUCUAUCAUCUGCGACACCUGAUGGGGUUAACCAGGGACCAUAGACUCGGACAUAUCGGUCAACACUGACCAUAACUGACCACAGUAUUAGACCAUUCACCUGUCCACACACUGGGAAUUGUUUUAUAGUGGGAAUUGACUUGAUGUAUUUAUUUGACACCUCGGUGCUUAUCUAUUUCUCAUUAUAAUUGGGAAGUCCCUAAUGAUUUCUCUCUCCUAAUGAGGAUUUUUUCACCAAUAGUGCAUUGAUGCGUAGAUUUGGCAUCAUCAACAUCAUCUUUGUAAACAGAUUUGCUGACUUGGAGCAAACUCUGCUUCGCAGCAUCAGAUUUCAGGAUUUACCUGCUCGUUUGACACCUGGGGGUGUGGUGUAUUCUGUACCUUGGUAAAUCGUCAGUUUCUACGUGGUUUGUAAUCGUGAAGUACCCCAAGGCUUGCUUGACAGGAGAACAUUAUUAAACAGACCAGAAGAGCAGUAAUUUAUAUGAAAUGUAGAAACAC